AUAUAGUUAACUAUUACUAGAUUCAUUAAGCAUUUCUAGCCUAAACGAACCUCAAAUGUCUGUAUGUUUAUCAUUUAGCCUGUUCGUUUGGUUAUGGUUUUGUUUCCUAGUUUUUAGUUGAAUCGUCCAGAAAACAAAUUCAGCCACAGAACACAAUUCACAGUUCACAGAUCUCAGAGCACAAAUCAGAAAUCUAUCAGUUCAAAAUAAAACUCAAACAAAAUUAAACGAAACGAAUUCAAUUCAAACAGAACCAGAACAAAAAAAAAGCAGACAUACUCGUACUCAUAAAGAUCGAAAUUAUUAUUUUGCCAUCGCUUAAUUUCAUUCUCUACUUUGUUUCUUUUCUUGUAAUGUCUUCUUUUAAGAUUUUCUGAUGUUCCCAGGAUGCUCGAUAUCCGGCCCAGAGGGUUGCAAUCUCUUCAUCUACCAUUUGCCCCAAGAGUUUGGCGAUGCGGAAUUAAUGCAAAUGUUCCUACCCUUUGGCAAUGUGAUCAGCUCUAAGGUCUUCAUCGAUCGUGCUACAAACCAGAGCAAAUGCUUCGGUAGAGUCUCCACACCCCCUACCUAUUAUAUUCAGCUGUUCCUAAUCAAAUGGCUCUCUCUCUCUCUCUCUUUAUGUAGGUUUUGUGUCCUUCGAUAACCCCGCAAGCGCUCAAGCGGCCAUUCAGGCCAUGAAUGGCUUCCAGAUUGGCAUGAAAAGACUGAAAGUUCAAUUGAAGCGGCCAAAGGAUGCCAGUCGACCCUAUUAACAAUCGGAGUUCCUUAAGUGUAAUUCACAACAACUACAUCUACUACCUGGAUCAUCAACAACAGGAGUAGUCGGAGGAGCAGCCAUUCCACAAACUAGAACUCAAUUUGCAACUGCAGCAGCAGCAACAACAUCCACAGCAACAGCAUCAGCCACAGCAACAACCACAGUACACCGCUAUAGUCGCAGAAGCAGCUUUAGGCCACCAUUUCCCACUGAAAACUCUCCUAAUAUGCAGUAUCAGUUCGCCAGCUGGCGAAAUGGUACCUACUGCUACCGCUAUAGCACCCCCAGCAACAUCUCCCCCAGCAACAUCAGCAAUUCCAGAAACUGCAGCAAGGACAACAGCAACAGCACCACCAACAACAAUAGCAGCAACUGCAGCAGCAGAAUGGACGAUUCCCAUCCACAGCCAACUCAACCGGACACGGCAUCCAAUAGCAACCAGAAGAACCUAUCCAAAGUGGAACUAGUCGAAAAACUGUUCAUGUGGCAGCAACAAAAACGAAAGACCUAAAACCAGUAGGACCCACACCACCACCACAUCAGCAACCAUGACAACGGCGACAACAAUAAGGAGCAACUACUGAAAGGGUGAGCCAUUGAAUUCGGAUGUUUGGGAACCCCAGUCCCGCAAACACUUUAGAAGAAUACGAACAAGAUCUCUUUCCAAAUGAAAGAUUUCCCAGAACUGUUUCGGCGAUCGUCUUGGAAGGAGAUCUUACGGAUAGAACUUGGAUCAGCUUACUGAUGCUAUACCAUUACCUCUUUUCAGAUGGUCUUCACCAUGCUAAGUGAAAAUGAUUAUAAAAAUAAAAAUGAACACAUGUUCAUGUGAAAAAAAACCUAAAAAAUAGUAAACAAAAAAAUGUAUAAUAAAAAAAGAAAAUACUUUAGAGCUGAAAUUUAAAUAGAUUUAUAUAUAUAUAUACAAAACAGCAGAACAUACAUGCAACUAUAUAUAUAUUUAUUCGAUUAUACAUGCAGAUGAAUGCAGUAUUUAAAAAAUUAAAGAGAAACCCAACAGAAACAAAAUGAUAAUGAUGUUGAGAAGCCCGAAGAAAGAACAAAAUUUUUGCCAAAAUAUCGAUUUAUUAUGAAUAUAUAUAGACACAUAAAUAUAUAUAUUUAUAGAAGCAAGGAACAAACAUUGAUAUUGAUAAUUUUGUUAACAAGAGAUAAACAAACCACAUAACAUAUGCACACCCAACACACACCACACACAGGAAAAACAACUUGAGACAAAAACUGACUGGCAAGAGACCAAAAUUAUCUGGGUUUUCAAAUUAAAAAAAAAAAACAAAAAAAAGAAACAAAUAAUAAAUAAUAAACAAAAAAAAGAGGGAGUACUAGUAGAGCAGCAGCCAAUUUAUAAGAAAAUUUGGUAAUGGGAAUUUAUUAAAUUAACAAGAUGCUGCAGAUAAAAUUAAUAAAAGAAAACCUAAAACAAGAGAAAAACUAUCAAAACUGAAUUUGUUAAUCUGAUGAUGAUAAAAUCGAAUGGAGUUGACAGUUAAAUGAUUUGAAUGGAUAAGAGGUGUAGACAAGCAGAAGGAUUUAAUGAUAGAGCCUAGGAUGAUUGAUAGAGGAACAUAGCUCUGCAACUUUUUAGCAUUUAGUGGUAAGCAAGAAGCAGAAUGUUCUAUAUAUAUAUGCAUAUACAAGUAUAUAUAUACACAUGUGUAUAUGUAUGUGUACGAAUGAAAAAUUAACACAAAAAUUCGAAUUUAAUUAAUUGUAAGUAAAACAAACCGAUAUAACAAAAUAGGAAUACACCAGCUCAGAGCAGGCCACUUAAUAUGCGCAAUGCUUUGAUGGAUAUGUGAAAGGCUACGGAUGAACAGACCGCAGUAUAUAUCUAUAUAUACCAAUAGGUAUAUAGUACUACUGGAUAGGUCGAGCCCAGGUCACCGCCCCAGGGUGGGCCUGCUGGCCUCGCCCCGAAGCAAAAAUAUCAUUUUUGAUUAUACAUAUAUAAAUGAGAAACUAAUUUAGCAUCAUAAUAUGAAUUUGUUAGAGCUAAUAACGAGAAUCGCGAAAACGAACGGAGGAGUAAACACAAAACUAGAAAAGAUAAAUUAAUCCAAAAACUCUAAAGAUCACUUGUGUUGGGCUGAGAGCUCUGUUGGAGAUAUUCUUCUACGAUACUAGUCUUCAAUUAGUUAUUCUGUAUUUAUGUUCGUUUUGUUUGCAGUUCGGUUGGGAACUUUUCUAAAACUAAUGAAAAUCGUAAUCGAUUUUAUAGUAUAAUAAACUAAAAUAAACUAAUAUUUGUAUAAAAUCAAACAACAAAAAUUUUACACUUAAACUUAGCUGCUUGCAACAAAAACAAAUACAGG
rnacentral:lncRNA from 1 species